rnacentral:rRNA from 1 species
UACGUGGGGUGCAAGCGUUGUUCGGAAUUACUGGGCGUAAAGCGCGUGUAGGCGGCGCACUAGGUUCGAUGUGAAAGCCCUGGGCUCAACCCAGGAACUGCAUUGAAAACUGGUGUGCUUGAGUCCGGGAGAGGGUCGCGGAAUUCCUGGUGUAGAGGUGAAAUUCGUAGAUAUCAGGAGGAACACCGGUGGCGAAGGCGGCGACCUGGACCGGUACUGACGCUGAGACGCGAAAGCGUGGGGAGCAAACAGG